GACGGAGGGUGCAAGCGUUAUCCGGAUUCACUGGGUUUAAAGGGUGCGUAGGUGGGCAGGUAAGUCAGUGGUGAAAUCUCCGAGCUUAACUCGGAAACUGCCGUUGAUACUAUUUGUCUUGAAUAUUGUGGAGGUAAGCGGAAUAUGUCAUGUAGCGGUGAAAUGCUUAGAUAUGACAUAGAACACCAAUUGCGAAGGCAGCUUACUACACAACGAUUGACGCUGAGGCACGAAAGCGUGGGGGAUCAAAACAGG
rnacentral:rRNA from 1 species